GCCGUCGUAGCUCAGUGGUAGAGCGACGCUCUCGUAAAGCGUAGGUCGUGGGUUCAAAUCCCACCGACGGCU
rnacentral:tRNA from 1 species